CGGAGCAUAGCACAGCCUGGUAGUGCACCUGGUUUGGGACCAGGGGGUCGUAGGUUCGAAGAGUACUGGGCGUAGCA
rnacentral:tRNA from 1 species